rnacentral:rRNA from 1 species
UACGGAGGGGGCUAGCGUUGUUCGGAAUUACUGGGCGUAAAGCGCACGUAGGCGGACUGUUAAGUCGGGGGUGAAAUCCUGGGCUCAACCUCAGAAUUGCCUCCGAUACUGGCAGUCUCGAGUGCGGGAGAGGUGAGUGGAAUUCCCAGUGUAGAGGUGAAAUUCGUAGAUAUUGGGAAGAACACCGGUGGGCGAAAGGCGGCGACC